UGCCGCUCAGCGGUGAAGACGUGCUGGAAAGUUGAAGGGUCAGUCGCUGGACGAUUGCCCCGAACUGGUUUCGGCUCCUUUUCUGGAGGCAUUGCGUCUGGCGUGGCAACUUGGGGUGACGCUGCACGUUCCCGGUUUCUUCCGGCCGAUGAUUCUGGAGGGACCGGAGCGGCGGCGCGGGUUGCGCGGACGCGUCAAAUACGGGAUGCGGCUGGCCGAGCUGGCAGGGCACAAGGUGCGGCGCGAUGGAAUCAAGUCGACGAUCGGCAAACUACUGAACAAAUCGAAACGGCCUCAGUCCAAGGCCGUCCCUUUUUAUUGCACGAUGCCGUGGAACGAUACUUACUUUGCGUCCGACGGAACGGUUUCCCAUGUUGCGUGAUGGGGGAAAAGCUCGGAAAUCUGAAAAGCCAGUCGUGGGAAGAAAUCUGGAACGGGCCGCUUUACCGCAAUUUCCGCAGAACAGUCCAUAGCUGGAACCCGCCGGAGGUCUGCCGCGGCUGCACUAUACCGAUGGGGAUUAACGGUGGGGACGAGAAAGCCUACGAUAAAUUUUUCAAUCGCUUCAGCGCGAAAAAAAUAGAGCUCGACGACGCGGCGCUUGAGUUCGGCGCGGAUUUCACGCGCUGGAACUCGCUGCGGAUGGGAAAGCAAGCCACCGUUGGAUGGAUCGGGAGGGAGUGUUGCGGCUGCCGAUGACCGUCGGGGCGCAAUUCCUGCGGCUGCGGCUGAUUGCGCGCGAGCCUGUGGCCGAGACCAAUCCGGGGCGGGCGAUGAUCAACGGGGGUGAGGAAGAGCCGUUUGAUAAUUCGGCGCGCGUCGUGCAUUUUCCGCUGGAACACGUCACCGGCCCAACGAUCGAGUUGCAACUGCAAAUGGACAAGGCCCACCACGUAGGGACCGACGAGCGCUCGCUCGCAUUGGCUAUUUGCGGCGUGGAAACUCUCUCCUAACGUAUUCGUUUUUCUUAAACCCCCCAACGCCCGCUCCACCUGCUUUUCGGCGUCAAUUUCUUUCGGCCGUGCCUCCCGCUCCUUCCACCCCCUUUGUUUUUCUCCCUUUCCCCUUCCUCCGCGCCCAAGCGCCUUCGCGGUUCAAAAAAUCUCCUCUCCCAUUCUCUUCCCUGAAAAUUAUGGGUCUGCAAGGGGCGCUAGAGCGCUUGACUAAAGUUCUACCUUGAUGCGGCAGGUCUGUUGAUUUUCAUUUGCGCGGUCGAUGAUCCAGCGCAGGGCGAGGUCCAGGCGCUGGAUCAGCGUUUCGUGCGUUUUGGCGACGAAAUCGCUGAACCAUUGGGCCUUGAGCAGCAGCCAGAGUCGUUCGAUCGGAUUCAGAUCGGGCGAAUAGCCGGGCAGGUAAACCGGCU
rnacentral:misc_RNA from 1 species